rnacentral:sRNA from 1 species
GAAAAAACAACUUUGCAUAAGCAUCUACUACAUCCAGCAGCAUGAAACAUAAUGUUCAAGGUAUCAGACUUUGGAAGAUACUUAAAUACUAGGCCAAACGGUUCGUAUUUCAAAAUUCAGCUAACACCUCCACUGGUUUCACUAAGACGACCACACUUCAAGCCAGGUGUUCACUUCUUUGCCUUCUUAGGUGCCGCUGCAGUUUGAGCAGGAGCUGCCGCUGCAGGAGCUGCUGGCUCUCUUGGGCCCUGAGCCAACCUCUCCUCCCUCCUGGCAAUCUUCCUCUCACGGCUUGCCUUGCUCUUGGCACGCUUAGCCUCAAACUGGUCAGAGAGUGUCUUCUCUCUUGCCUUCUCAGCCUUAGAC